CGCCGGAGCGCGGAGCGCGCCGGGCCCCAUGGACAGCUCAGCCGCGACCAGAAGUCAGCAGUUUCCCAGAAGCCCCGGAGUCGGGGCAUCCUCCACUCUCUCUUCUGCUGUGUCUGCCGGGAUGAUGGGGAGCCCCUACCUGCCCACAGUGGGGCCCCCCUGCUGGUGGAGGAAAAUGGCGCCAUCCCUAAGCACACCCCAGUCCAGUACCUGCUUCCCGAGGCCAAGGCCCAGGACUCAGACAAGAUCUGCGUAGUCAUCGACCUGGACAGCUCCUUCAAGCCAGUGAACAAUGCGGACUUCAUCAUCCCGGUGGAGAUAGAUGGAGUGGUCCACCAGGUCUAUGUGCUGAAGCGGCCCCACGUAGAUGAGUUCCUACAGCGAAUGGGCAAGCUCUUUGAAUGUGUGCUGUUCACUGCCAGCCUUGCCAAGUACGCACUCUGCUGGACAAAUGGGGAGCCUUCCGUGCCAGGCUGUUUCGAGAGUCGUGUGUCUUCCACCGGGGGAACUAAAGGACCUGAGCAGGCUGGGGCGAGUGCUCAUUCUAGACAACUCACCCACCUCCUAUGUCUUCCAUCCAGACAAUGCCGUACCAGUGGCCUCGUGGUUUGACAACAUGAGUGACACUGCGCUACACGAUCUCUUACCCUUCUUUGAGCAACUCAGCUGAGGGAACGACUAUACUCAGUGCUCAAACAGCCUAGGCCCGGGAGCUAGUGAGGUGUCCUGGGGCCAGGACCUGCCUCUCACCAAGGCCCAAGCCUCUCCCCAGCAGACUGUGGGCGCCUGCCUUUGCUGUUAACACCCCCGGCUGUGUCAUGGUCACGGCCCUGGGGAAGAGGUGUCUCCCCUGCCAUGUUGCAUGGAGGACAGUGAGCCCUUGGGCCCCUGUGUCAGUGCCUUCAAACUUCUUCCCCUCUUCUCAGGGGACCUGGGGGGCCCUGCCUGCUGCUCCCCACUUCUGUCUUAUCCACGCUGCCAUGUUUCUCUGUUGCCAAAUUGGGCCUCUUCGCCCCAGUUCUGCUCUGGGGGUAGGGACAGGGUUUUUGCUGCCCCGUGCCUUGGAUUCCCCACCCACCCACCCACCCACCCACCCCCGUCUGAGAACAGUGGACACCCAAGUGCCUUUCAUAGAACCCUCUUUACUGGUCAGCUUUUCCCAGAUCUAGGCUGACCUGAGAGGAACCAACUUCUCCCCUUUCCCUCCUACCUCUUGGGAUGACCAGUUUGUACGUGGGCAGGAGAGGAAGAAAGUCUAUUAUAAUACACUUGUAAAAGAGCUGGGGACCUUCCUCGGGAGGAACGCUCCCGGUCCAGCUUGUCCAAGGCUGACGGCUGCUCCAUAUCUCACUUAAGCCCCAAGUCUCCCCAAAGCCCUGGGGCUCGGCAGGAUGCCCCCGUGGUGCCAUAUAAAUAUGUAUAUGUGUAUAUAGAUUUUGAAGGGAAGGAGAAAGGAAAGGGUGAGAACAAGACACUCUUCCUUAACCCUUCCCUGGGCCCAGAAAUUGGGGGAGGGAGGGAAAGGAUUUUUACAUUUUUAAAACUACUAUUUUUCUGAAUGGAACAAGCUGGGCUGAGGGGUCAGGUCGGGUCUUCUGUCUGUCCCAACCCUUUUCACUCUUCAUUCAAAAGACAUUUAUUGAGUACCUUCAGUGCCCAGCAGUGAGCUAGUCCCACCAGCUUAGUGGGAGGGGGUUGUCUCUGCUUCAUUUUUAGGUGCCUCUAAACCCCAGAUGUCAUGCCUUCAGAGUAUCAACAGGGGGUGGAACCUUCUUGUGGGGUUAGGGAGUGUCCAAACCUUAACCAAGCUGGCUCCUCCUGUGCCAACUCCUCCUUCCCUGUUCCGUGCAGCCUCCUCCAUGGCCCCCCGCUGGCUGGGGGCAGCUCCUGGGUUUCUGCCUUCUGUUUUUAAAGCCCCUCCCCAUACCUGCAGAGUCUGCAGUUCAAGCCCUUAGGCUCUCUCCCCAGAUUACAAGGGUUAAGUGAACCCACAAACAAGUGCCAAGGGGGUUGGUGAAGGGAGAGAAGAUGGCCAGAAUCAGAUGACCUUCCCAAUUAAGUGCCUUCUCUGUGACCUGAGCACCUCAGAGUGAUAACUAAAGAGAAAGCUAGACCCCCUCCUAUUCCGCCUCUGUGGUUUUUGGGGAAGGGACCUGAAGUGAGUGAAUGUCUCACAUCUGUGACUGCAGUUUUGACUAUUUCUCAUAACCCUGCUGGACAGGAGGAAGUUAGCCAAGAGGGACUGCCUGGGCACUCGAUCUGAGUUGCUAGAGCCCACGUGAUGGAAAGAGAAAACUCCCACAAGUUGUCCUCUGACCUCCUCACAUGCACCAUGGCACGAGCUCUACCCACCCCCCACCCCCAGAUACACGCACUCUAAACAAAUAAAAAAUACACA